rnacentral:rRNA from 1 species
UACGUAGGGGGCUAGCGUUGUCCGGAAUCAUUGGGCGUAAAGCGCGUGUAGGCGGCUCGAUAAGUCCGGUGUGAAACCUUGGGGCUCAACCCCAAGCCUGCACUGGAUACUGCCGAGCUAGAGUCCGGGAGGGGAGAGCGGAAUUCCUAGUGUAGCGGUGAAAUGCGCAGAUAUUAGGAAGAACACCGGUGGCGAAGGCGGCUCUCUGGAACGGUACUGACGCUGAGACGCGAAAGCGUGGGGAGCGAACAGG